rnacentral:rRNA from 1 species
AACGAACGCUGGCGGCAGGCUUAACACAUGCAAAUCGAGCGCGCCGCAAGGGGAGCGGCAGACGGGUGAGUAACGCGUGGGAAUCUACCCAUCUCUACGGAAUAACGCAUGGAAACGUGUGCUAAUACCGUAUACGUCCUUCGGGAGAAAGAUUUAUCGGAGAUGGAUGAGCCCGCGUUGGAUUAGCUAGUUGGUGGGGUAAAGGCCUACCAAGGCGACGAUCCAUAGCUGGUCUGAGAGGAUGAUCAGUCACACUGGGACUGAGACAAGGCCCAGACUCCUACGGGAGGCAGCAGUGGGGAAAAUUGGACAAUGGGCGCAAGCCUGAUCCAGCCAUGCCGCGUGAGUGAUGAAGGCCCUAGGGUUGUAAAGCUCUUUCACCGGUGAAGAUAAUGACGGUAACCGGAGAAGAAGCCCCGGCUAACUUCGUGCCAGCCGCCGCCGUAACAC